rnacentral:rRNA from 1 species
AUCUCCGUGGACACCACGAGCGCGUACUUGCACCUGCUGUCGCACUGCAGGAUGUUCUCCGCCAGCCCGAUGCCGGCUAUCCCGGCGCUGCACCCCAUCCCGGAAAGGCUGAAGCACCGGACAUCGCUGCGGAACCCGUACCUGCGCACUACCAUGUCAGCCAUGGACGGCGUUGGGGCGAACAGCGUGCAGUUCACCACCACCACUCCGAUGUCCUCGGCGCGGACGCCGGUCUUGGCGAGAACGGCAUCGACGGCGGAGAAUAUCCCUUGCUCGGCCUCGGCGCGGGCCGCCUUGAGGGUCUUCUCCGGAGGGAUGACGUGGCAGGCCGGCGGGAGGCAUGUCUCCUCACCGAAGCCCGAGCGCUCGAUGAGGCGCGACUGGAAGCCGACGCUCUUGUCGUCAAAGCACGGCGCGAGCCCGGUGUGCUCGAUGUACUUGGAGAGCGGCACGCGGAGGGCGGCCGGCGGCCGGAAGCAUGCGUAG